rnacentral:rRNA from 1 species
CCUANGGGUGGCAGCAGUAACGAAUCUUCCGCAAUGCACGAAAGUGUGACGGAGCGACGCCGCGUGUGGGACGAAGUUCUUCGGAAUGUAAACCACUGUCAGGGGUUAGAAAGUUCUGAUCAACCCCAGAGGAAGGCACGGCUAACUCUGUGCCAGCAGCCGCGGUAAGACAGAGGUGCCAAGCGUUAGGCGGAAUCACUGGGCUUAAAGCGUGUGUAGGCGGACUUCUAAGUACCUUGUGAAAUCCCAUGGCUCAACCAUGGAACUGCUCGGUAUACUGGUUGUCUUGAGCCACUUAGGGGCUGUCGGAACAAAUGGUGGAGCGGUGAAAUGCGUAGAUAUCAUUUGGAACGCCAAAGGUGAAAACAGACAGCUGGGAGUGUGCUGACGCUGAGACACGAAAGCCAGGGGAGCGAACGGGAUUAGAUACCCGUNUANUC